ensembl:misc_RNA Metazoa_SRP Metazoan signal recognition particle RNA
GUCAGACACAGUGGUGCAUGCCUGUGGUCCCAGCUACUUCAGAGGCUGAGGUGGGGGGAUCACUUGAGCCAAGGACUUCUGGGCUGUAGCACGCUAUGCUGACCAAGUGUCCACACUAAGUUCAGCAUCAAUAUGGUGACCUUCCAGGGGUGGGGUACCACGAGGUUGCCUAAGAAAGAGUGAACUGGCCCAGAUCAGAAAUGGAGCAGGUCAAAACUCCCGUGCUGAUCGGUAGUGGGAUCUCGCCUGUGAAUAGUCACUGUGCUCUAGCCUGGGCAACACAGUGAGACCCCCAUCUCUU